UACAGAGGUCUCAAGCGUUGUUCGGAUUCAUUGGGCGUAAAGGGUGCGUAGGUGGUGGGGUAAGUCGGAUGUGAAAUCCCGGGGCUCAACCCCGGAACUGCAUUCGAUACUGCCUUGCUCGAGUACUGGAGAGGAGACUGGAAUUUACGGUGUAGCAGUGAAAUGCGUAGAUAUCGUAAGGAAGGCCAGUGGCGAAGGCGAGUCUCUGGACAGUUACUGACACUGAGGCACGAAGGCCAGGGGAGCAAACGGG
rnacentral:rRNA from 1 species